AUUGAACGCUGGCGGCAUGCCUUACACAUGCAAGUCGAACGGCAGCACGGGCUUCGGUCUGGUGGCGAGUGGCGAACGGGUGAGUAAUGUAUCGGAACGUACCUUAGAGUGGGGGAUAACGUAGCGAAAGUUACGCUAAUACCGCAUAUUCUGUGCGCAGGAAAGCGGGGGAUCGCAAGACCUUGUGCUCUUUGAGCGGCCGAUAUCAGAUUAGCUAGUUGGUGAGGUAAAAGCUCACCAAGGCGACGAUCUGUAGCGGGUCUGAGAGGAUGAUCCGCCACACUGGAACUGAGACACGGUCCAGACUCCUACGGGAGGCAGCAGUGGGGAAUUUUGGACAAUGGGGGCAACCCUGAUCCAGCCAUGCCGCGUGAGUGAAGAAGGCCUUCGGGUUGUAAGGCUCUUUCAGCCGGGAAGAAAUCGCAUAGGUUAAUACCCUGUGCGGAUGACGGUACCGGAAUAAGAAGCACCGGCUAACUACGUGCCAGCAGCCGCAGUAACAC
rnacentral:rRNA from 1 species